AUUCCAGCUCCAAUAGCGUAUAUUAAAGUUGUUGCAGUUAAAAAGCUCGUAGUUGGAUUUGUGGUGGUGCCUGCGGUCCAAAAUGUUUUGGUGCUGUCGGGCACUGCCAUCCUUGGGUGGAACCUGUGGGGCAUUAGGUUGUUUUGCAGGGGAUGCCCAUCGUUUACUGUGAAAAAAUUAGAGUGUUCAAAGCAGGCUUACGCCGUUGAAUAUAUUAGCAUGGAAUAAUGAGAUAGGACUCUGGUGCUAUUUUGUUGGUUUGCGCACCGAAGUAAUGAUUAAUAGGGACAGUUGGGGGUAUUCGUAUUCCAUUGUCAGAGGUGAAAUUCUUGGAUUUCUGGAAGACGAACUACUGCGAAAGCAUUUACCAAGGAUGUU
rnacentral:rRNA from 1 species